GGGUUGUGAGGUUAAGCGACUAAGCGUACACGGUGGAUGCCCUGGCAGUCAGAGGCGAUGAAGGACGUGCUAAUCUGCGAAAAGCGUCGGUAAGGUGAUAUGAACCGUUAUAACCGGCGAUGUCCGAAUGGGGAAACCCAGUGCAAUUCGUUGCACUAUCGUUAACUGAAUACAUAGGUUAACGAGGCGAACCGGGGGAACUGAAACAUCUAAGUACCCCGAGGAAAAGAAAUCAACCGAGAUUCCCCCAGUAGCGGCGAGCGAACGGGGAGCAGCCCAGAGUCUGAAUCAGCUUGUGUGUUAGUGGAACGGUCUGGAAAGUCCGACGGUACAGGGUGAUAGUCCCGUACACCAAAAUGCACAGGCUGUGAACUCGAAGAGUAGGGCGGGACACGUGGUAUCCUGUCUGAAUAUGGGGGGACCAUCCUCCAAGGCUAAAUACUCCUGACUGACCGAUAGUGAACCAGUACCGUGAGGGAAAGGCGAAAAGAACCCCGGCGAGGGGAGUGAAAAAGAACCUGAAACCGUGUACGUACAAGCAGUGGGAGCACCUUCGGGUGUGACUGCGUACCUUUUGUAUAAUGGGUCAGCGACUUAUAUUCUGUAGCAAGGUUAACCGUAUAGGGGAGCCGCAGGGAAACCGAGUCUUAACUGGGCGUUAAGUUGCAGGGUAUAGACCCGAAACCCGGUGAUCUAGCCAUGGGCAGGUUGAAGGUUGGGUAACACUAACUGGAGGACCGAACCGACUAAUGUUGAAAAAUUAGCGGAUGACUUGUGGCUGGGGGUGAAAGGCCAAUCAAACCGGGAGAUAGCUGGUUCUCCCCGAAAGCUAUUUAGGUAGCGCCUCGUGAAUUCAUCUUCGGGGGUAGAGCACUGUUUCGGCUAGGGGGUCAUCCCGACUUACCAACCCGAUGCAAACUACGAAUACCGAAGAAUGUUAUCACGGGAGACACACGGCGGGUGCUAACGUCCGUCGUGAAGAGGGAAACAACCCAGACCGCCAGCUAAGGUCCCAAAGUCAUGGUUAAGUGGGAAACGAUGUGGGAAGGCACAGACAGCCAGGAUGUUGGCUUAGAAGCAGCCAUCAUUUAAAGAAAGCGUAAUAGCUCACUGGUCGAGUCGGCCUGCGCGGAAGAUGUAACGGGGCUAAACCAUGCACCGAAGCUGCGGCAGCGACACUAUGUGUUGUUGGGUAGGGGAGCGUUCUGUAAGCCUGCGAAGGUGUGCUGUGAGGCAUGCUGGAGGUAUCAGAAGUGCGAAUGCUGACAUAAGUAACGAUAAAGCGGGUGAAAAGCCCGCUCGCCGGAAGACCAAGGGUUCCUGUCCAACGUUAAUCGGGGCAGGGUGAGUCGACCCCUAAGGCGAGGCCGAAAGGCGUAGUCGAUGGGAAACAGGUUAAUAUUCCUGUACUUGGUGUUACUGCGAAGGGGGGACGGAGAAGGCUAUGUUAGCCGGGCGACGGUUGUCCCGGUUUAAGCAUGUAGGCUGGUUAUCCAGGCAAAUCCGGAUAAUCAAGGCUGAGGUGUGAUGACGAGGCACUACGGUGCUGAAGUAACAAAUGCCCUGCUUCCAGGAAAAGCCUCUAAGCAUCAGGUAACAUUAAAUCGUACCCCAAACCGACACAGGUGGUCAGGUAGAGAAUACCAAGGCGCUUGAGAGAACUCGGGUGAAGGAACUAGGCAAAAUGGUGCCGUAACUUCGGGAGAAGGCACGCUGGUGUGUAGGUGAAGUCCCUGCGGAUGGAGCUGAGACCAGUCGAAGAUACCAGCUGGCUGCAACUGUUUAUUAAAAACACAGCACUGUGCAAACACGAAAGUGGACGUAUACGGUGUGACGCCUGCCCGGUGCCGGAAGGUUAAUUGAUGGGGUUAUCCGUAAGGAGAAGCUCUUGAUCGAAGCCCCGGUAAACGGCGGCCGUAACUAUAACGGUCCUAAGGUAGCGAAAUUCCUUGUCGGGUAAGUUCCGACCUGCACGAAUGGCGUAAUGAUGGCCAGGCUGUCUCCACCCGAGACUCAGUGAAAUUGAACUCGCUGUGAAGAUGCAGUGUACCCGCGGCAAGACGGAAAGACCCCGUGAACCUUUACUAUAGCUUGACACUGAACAUUGAGCCUUGAUGUGUAGGAUAGGUGGGAGGCUUUGAAGCGUGGACGCCAGUCUGCGUGGAGCCAACCUUGAAAUACCACCCUUUAAUGUUUGAUGUUCUAACGUUGGCCCCUUACCGGGGUUGCGGACAGUGUCUGGUGGGUAGUUUGACUGGGGCGGUCUCCUCCCAAAGCGUAACGGAGGAGCACGAAGGUUAGCUAAUCCUGGUCGGACAUCAGGAGGUUAGUGCAAUGGCAUAAGCUAGCUUGACUGCGAGCGUGACGGCGCGAGCAGGUGCGAAAGCAGGUCAUAGUGAUCCGGUGGUUCUGAAUGGAAGGGCCAUCGCUCAACGGAUAAAAGGUACUCCGGGGAUAACAGGCUGAUACCGCCCAAGAGUUCAUAUCGACGGCGGUGUUUGGCACCUCGAUGUCGGCUCAUCACAUCCUGGGGCUGAAGUAGGUCCCAAGGGUAUGGCUGUUCGCCAUUUAAAGUGGUACGCGAGCUGGGUUUAGAACGUCGUGAGACAGUUCGGUCCCUAUCUGCCGUGGGCGCUGGAGAAUUGAGGGGGGCUGCUCCUAGUACGAGAGGACCGGAGUGGACGCAUCACUGGUGUUCGGGUUGUCAUGCCAAUGGCACUGCCCGGUAGCUAAAUGCGGAAGAGAUAAGUGCUGAAAGCAUCUAAGCACGAAACUUGCCCCGAGAUGAGUUCUCCCUGAGACUUUAAGUCUCCUGAAGGAACGUUGAAGACGACGACGUUGAUAGGCCGGGUGUGUAAGCGCAGCGAUGCGUUGAGCUAACCGGUACUAAUGAACCGUGAGGCUUAACCUUACAACGCCGAAG
rnacentral:rRNA from 2 species